UGGGGGCGGGGUCGCAGGAGAAAGGAGGAGCCGGGCUGGGGAACGCGAGGAGGGAGAGCGAGAGAACUGGUGAAGGCCGAAAGACCCUUGGAAAAGAUACUGUUUGGGGGAAAAUAAGACAGAACGCAGAGAGACCCUUCUGUCACCCCAGCGAAGUCAGCGUGAGAACUAGAACAAGAAGCACGGUGCAGCUUUGGCCGAACCAGGAUUCUUGAGAUGCGGGGACGAUGACUGAAGAAAAAGACAAAGGAUACCCCGUGAGGGCAGAAAUCUUGGGUGACACGAUGCCCAAGUCGAAGGCUCACUCCUCUCCUGGUCGGCCCUGGCAGCGUCUGAGGAUAUCAGAUGACAGAGCCCUCCCCAGGGUUUACCAAGCCAUUAGGACUACCCCAGGAUAUCAAUGACUCUUAGAAUCCCAGAAAAGACAAAAACUAGCAGAUCCCAUGGACAUGGACCUCUGAAGGAGUCAAAUGAUGUUCAUCUUUGAGGCAGUGAGCAAACUUUCAGAAAGAAGCAGCAUAAGCAGAAAACCCUCCCAAGGUACUCCGAUCUGAAACCCCACUGGCCUUACAGAGUUGGGACCAGCUACCUCUUAGAUUGUGCUCUCCUUGGUCCCACUUGGACUUUGUUGUCUCCAAUGACUGCCUGUUCCAUGCACCUAGCCUCACUAUGGCACGUGCACAGACCACAGAGGAUGGUGUGUUUCCCUGGAUUCUGUGACCCUCACUGUUCUCUGGUCUGGCUUUGUGGCUAUGUUCCUUUUUCCUUUCACGGGCUCUGGGGACCACUGAAACUUCCUCAGAUAUCACAAGCUGGGACUUCUCUCAAAUAUCACAAGCUCUGCUGGCCUUCCUGAAGCUGGAACUUGGGGUAAGAUUACAUCUCGGGCUUGGGCAGGCAGGCAGUUGGGGAAGCUGGUGCAGACAUGGUACCCUGAUGAAAGGUUCCACAGCCCUCACUUGGUGACUCUGCUUUCGUGCCCUGGUUUCCCACAGCGCCAUCUGGGCCAAGCUCCCUUCCAUCGCUGUCUUUACCAUCUCAAAGACAGAAACCUUUUGGUGUUCUGGCUUUUUAGAGUCCCCACAGUGCUAAGGCAAGCCAGGUGGGGAGGAUGCCUGGGUCAUUUGUCUGGGGAGCUGUUCCAACCCCAGAGCCAGUCCUGCCCUCCUAUGAGUUCAGAGCUGAUCAUUUCCAGGUUGGAUAGACUCGAGGGGCUGCAGUUCUCAGCCCAUGGUGAAUUCAGAUAACCAGGAAGCUGGAGCAGCGAAGACUCCAGACCAUUCAGGGGUGUCAUUAUGUCUGAGAUGAGGACCCAGGACCUGCAUUUUAACCACCUUCUCAAAGAUGCUCAAUGAAGGUGCUGUUGGCCUCAUUUGGGGAAACAGAUUUAGAAUUACUCCACGAUAUUCCAGCAAAGCCCGGACACCAGAGACAAAAAGCAUGAAGAACUCAUCACCAAUGGGCUAAUUGUGUCUUUGCCUCCUAUAUCCUGACGCUUUAGCACCUGGGUCUUGCUGACAUUGGAGGACGUCCUCCGGUCUCUUGACUAGUCAUAGCGAGUGACCCACCUUCCUACUCACCUGUCACGUGCCAGCUUCCGCCCACCUGUCCUUGUCAGCCAGCACAAGGACCAGACCAGUAGGAACUGCCCUGUGUCCUGGAGCCCUGAGCACAUCCCACUACCCUGUCACUCCUCGAGUCUUCCCAGCAACCUCAGAGAAAGCUGUGUCUGGUGACUUCUCUGUGCCUUUCUCAGAGGAUAAACGCGGCAAUUAAACAUGCUGGACUUCUAAGUGCUUGGAGCAGUGCCUGGCUCACAGAGAGGAUUAGGUCAGUAUCUAUUAUUAUCCUCAUUUCACUAAUGGGGAGACAGAGGCAGAAACAGGAUUAAGUCACUUGCCAGGAUCCACAGCUUCCAUUGAGCUGGACGGGUGCCACCUUCUAGCCAUAGAGCUGGCAUUUUAUUACGCCAGAGAAAGCCAUCGUGACUGUGUUUAAUCACAUGCAGCAUUUCGUUUCUUUUGACUCUCCCUGAGUAAUACCCAG